UAGGUGUGGGGGACAUUCCACGUUUUCCGCGCCGUAGCUAACGCAUUAAGUGCCCCGCCUGGGGAGUACGGCCGCAAGGCUAAAACUCAAAGGAAUUGACGGGGGCCCGCACAAGCGGCGGAGCAUGCGGAUUAAUUCGAUGCAACGCGAAGAACCUUACCAAGGCUUGACAUGUGCCAGACCGCCGUGGAAACACGGUUUCCCCUUUGGGGCUGGUUCACAGGUGGUGCAUGGUUGUCGUCAGCUCGUGUCGUGAGAUGUUGGGUUAAGUCCCGCAACGAGCGCAACCCUCGUUCCAUGUUGCCAGCGCGUAAAGGCGGGGACUCAUGGGAGACUGCCGGGGUCAACUCGGAGGAAGGUGGGGACGACGUCAAAUCAUCAUGCCCCUUAUGUCUUGGGCUUCACGCAUGCUACAAUGGCCGGUACAAUGGGUUGCGAUACUGUGAGGUGGAGCUAAUCCCAAAAAGCCGGUCUCAGUUCGGAUUGGGGUCUGCAACUCGACCCCAUGAAGUCGGAGUCGCUAGUAAUCGCAGAUCAGCAACGCUGCGGUGAAUACGUUCCCGGGCCUUGUACACACCGCCCGUCAAGUCACGAAAGUUGGUAACACCCGAAGCCGGUGGCCUAACCCCUUGUGGGAGGGAGCCGUCGAAGGUGGGACCGGCGAUUGGGACU
rnacentral:rRNA from 1 species